rnacentral:rRNA from 1 species
UACAGAGGGCUCAAGCGUUGUUCGGCUUCAUUGGGCGUAAAGGGUGCGUAGGCGGCGUGUUAAGUCGGGUGUGAAAUCUCGGGGCUUAACUCCGAAACUGCAUUCGAUACUGCCGUGCUUGAGGACUGGAGAGGAGACUGGAAUUUACGGUGUAGCGGUGAAAUGCGUAGAUAUCGUAAGGAAGACCAGUGGCGAAGGCGGGUCUCUGGACAGUUCCUGACGCUGAGGCACGAAGGCCAGGGGAGCAAACGGG